rnacentral:rRNA from 1 species
UCCUACGGGAGGCAGCAGUGAGGAAUAUUGGUCAAUGGGCGAGAGCCUGAACCAGCCAAGUAGCGUGCAGGAUGACGGCCCUAUGGGUUGUAAACUGCUUUUGUAUGGGGAUAAAGUCAGUCACGUGUGAUUGUUUGCAGGUACCAUACGAAUAAGGACCGGCUAAUUCCGUGCCAGCAGCCGCGGUAAUACGGAAGGUCCAGGCGUUAUCCGGAUUUAUUGGGUUUAAAGGGAGCGUAGGCCGGAGAUUAAGUGUGUUGUGAAAUGUAGACGCUCAACGUCUGACUUGCAGCGCAUACUGGUUUCCUUGAGUACGCACAACGUUGGCGGAAUUCGUCGUGUAGCGGUGAAAUGCUUAGAUAUGACGAAGAACUCCGAUUGCGAAGGCAGCUGACGGGAGCGCAACUGACGCUUAAGCUCGAAGGUGCGGGUAUCAAACAGGAUUAGAUACCCUGGUAGUCCGCACAGUAAACGAUGGAUGCCCGCUGUUGGUACCUGGUAUCAGCGGCUAAGCGAAAGCAUUAAGCAUCCCACCUGGGGAGUACGCCGGCAACGGUGAAACUCAAAGGAAUUGACGGGGGCCCGCACAAGCGGAGGAACAUGUGGUUUAAUUCGAUGAUACGCGAGGAACCUUACCCGGGCUUGAAUUGCAGAGGAAGGAUUUAGAGAUAAUGACGCCCUUCGGGGUCUCUGUGAAGGUGCUGCAUGGUUGUCGUCAGCUCGUGCCGUGAGGUGUCGGCUUAAGUGCCAUAACGAGCGCAACCCCUCUCUUCAGUUGCCAUCAGGUAAUGCUGGGCACUCUGGAGACACUGCCACCGUAAGGUGUGAGGAAGGUGGGGAUGACGUCAAAUCAGCACGGCCCUUACGUCCGGGGCUACACACGUGUUACAAUGGCCGGUACAGAGGGACGGUGUAAUGCAAAUUGCAUCCAAUCUUGAAAGCCGGUCCCAGUUCGGACUGGGGUCUGCAACCCGACCCCACGAAGCUGGAUUCGCUAGUAAUCGCGCAUCAGCCAUGGCGCGGUGAAUACGUUCCCGGGCCUUGUACACACCGCCCGUCAAGCCAUGAAAGCCGGGGGUGCCUGAAGUCCGUGACCGCAAGGAUCGGCCUAGGGCAAAACUGGUGAUUGGGGCUAAGUCGUAACAAGGUAGCCGUACCGGAAGGUGCGGCUG